UACAUGGGGGUGCAAACGUUGCUCGGAAUUAUUGGGCGUAAAGCGCACGUAGGCGGUUCGUUUAAGUCGGAUGUGAAAAGCCCCUCGGCUCAACUGAGGAAGUGCACCCGAAACUGGCGAGCUUGAGUACUUAAGAGGAUCGCGGAAUUCCCGGUGUAGAGGUGAAAUUCGUAGAUAUCGGGAGGAACACCAGUGGCGAAGGCGGCGAUCUGGGGAAGAUACUGACGCUGAGGUGCGAAAGCGUGGGGAGCAAACAGG
rnacentral:rRNA from 1 species